AGCAAUACCUCGCAUAUACGGGGGUGGAUCUGAAUCCUCUAGAAUGUUAUAUGAUCUUCAUCCUCUAUUUCUACUUAAUACGUUCCCGUCGUACAGAAUGGUAACUUAGGCAGAUCCUCUAGAA
rfam:Anopheles gambiae M scf_1925491367 genomic scaffold, whole genome shotgun sequence.